UACAGAGGUCUCAAGCGUUGUUCGGAUUCAUUGGGCGUAAAGGGUGCGUAGGCGGCGCGGUAAGUCGGAUGUGAAAUCUCGGAGCUUAACUCCGAAACUGCAUUCGAUACUGCCGUGCUUGAGGACUGGAGAGGAGACUGGAAUUUACGGUGUAGCGGUGAAAUGCGCAGAUAUCGGGAAGAACACCCGUGGCGAAGGCGGUUCUCUGGGACGGUACUGACGCUGAGACGCGAAAGCGUGGGGAGCGAACAGG
rnacentral:rRNA from 1 species